AACGAACGCUGGCGGCAUGCCUAACACAUGCAAGUCGAACGAGACCUUCGGGUCUAGUGGCGCACGGGUGCGUAACGCGUGGGAACCUGCCCUUAGGUUCGGAAUAACUCUCCGAAAGGGGUGCUAAUACCGGAUAAUGUCUUCGGACCAAAGAUUUAUCGCCUUUGGAGGGGCCCGCGUUGGAUUAGCUGGUUGGUAGGGUAAAAGCCUACCAAGGCGACGAUCCAUAGCUGGUCUGAGAGGAUGAUCAGCCACACUGGGACUGAGACACGGCCCAGACUCCUACGGGAGGCAGCAGUGGGGAAUAUUGGACAAUGGGCGAAAGCCUGAUCCAGCAAUGCCGCGUGAGUGAUGAAGGCCUUAGGGUUGUAAAGCUCUUUUACCCGGGAUGAUAAUGACAGUACCGGGAGAAUAAGCUCCGGCUAACUCCGUG
rnacentral:rRNA from 1 species